GACAACUAAUGAACAAUCAAUUAUUACUUUGCCCAUGACUACUGCUUCAAAAGACCAAAAAAUAGAAAUAAAGUAUCAAACUCUUUGUUUCUGAAGCAUUUCUUCUCCCCUCUUUCAAUUUGUUGUUCUGUGUUUUGCCUUUUCCUUUCCCUCCGUAUUAAUCUCCAUAUCAACCUCUGUCAAUUUUUCUCUUCUUCCCUCUUAACAUUUUCCAAUUUUCCUUCGACGAAUUUCACUUUGACUUGAGCUGAAACCAUUGCAAUGGGCGUUUGGAAAUUUUGUUUAAUCUGAGAAUUUUCCAGAAUCUGGAUAAGGAUCGAGAUUCUUCAGAUUGAACAGGACAAAUUAAAGUGCUGGAAUUUCAUAUACUUGGGUGGUCAUCCCGACUCAUAUCUAACUACCUAAGAGAGUUCUGUACUGGCACUUGCAAGGAGAAACAAAGAUAGUAGGACAAAAUUGUAUUUUCCUCGUAGGACGGGAAGGACUAGCUUCAAGAAUAUAAACAGAAAGUGGCCUAGAUGGAAGUCGAAGGUAUGGAUACAUCUCUUGUGAGCCUUUUUUGUGUUACAUGUGAGCCUGCCAAAGAUGAAGAUACACGUAAUCUAAUUACACAACUUAAAGACAGCUUGUAUCAAGUGCUUGAGGAAGAGCAAACUGAGACAUUCAAGAACAAUGUGUGGGUUGAGCAUAGGGGGCUGGACACACGAGGUUACGUUAGACGCAUGGGGAAGUAUACCUCUGUGACCCAAAGGCAUGUACCAAUGAAUGAUAGGAAGGCGAUUAUUCAAGAAAUCAAAAAUCAGAUUGUUGAGGAGGUACGAGAGGAAGUAUUAUAGCAAGUUAGAGGAAUGACACCGCAUCAAUCGAGAGAAGAGAUAAGAGCAGAUUUUAGUGCACAGUUUGAGUAUAUGCAGAAAACCAUUAGUUUCUUAAUGUCACAUUUGGAUGUCAAUGCCUUACACAUGUUUCCAGAUUGGAUUUUUGGUGCUUUUCCUAGUCGACAGGGUCCAGCUGAGUCUACUAAUUAAGGAGGAUUAAACUUGUGAUAGAUUUGGUAAGUACUUUUGGCUUUUCUCUUCCCUUCUUCAUGACUUUGUUGCUGAAACUUGCAUAGAGUAUUGGGUGAACGAAUGAGUAGUUGAUCAUUCCAAUGUGGCAAUCGCAUUGUUUAUAUGCUCUUCGCAUAAAAAGAGCAUUUCAGAGCUUUGAGUUGAUGCAAAUCACAAAUAGAUUCCUGGGAAAUCCCUCAUGAUUUUUGAAGCCUUUUUUAGUUUCACAAAUUACUAGUUUUUGUAUAUCAGGAAAGCCGUUAAAGACCUCCCUGUUGCAACUUGCUGUUCUGAUUGCUGCAAGUGUUUGAAGAUUAUGUAAAACCAAUGAUUUCCUUGCAUGUUAUCUUCUACUUUCUCAAGAUCAGGCAAAUAACUAGCUGCACUCAAUUUGAGAUGCCUUAACUGAGACAUCAGCCAAAUCUCUAGCAGCAAAGUUGGGUACUUUUUCAAUAUCUUGCUUGUCCAAGGACCAUAGACUAUGAUUCUCUACAGAUUCCAGUGAGUGCAGAGUACCUCAAGUUUAUCAGCUUCAAGAACACGUGAAGCAAAUGAAAGAUUAUAACUUUUUGAGUGAUUGUUAGACUAGCUUCCUCAAUGAUAACUAAUGCAGCGCAUGUUGCCUGUGUCGUUUGGAGAAACAGUGAUUGUUUGACUUUUGAGUGUUUGCUUUGUUAUGAUAUGUAUAGUUUGUUUCAUUAUGGUAGACCAGCCAUAAAUUUUGCUGUAAAUAAAUUUUGUCUUUUUCUUUGUCCAUCACGUGAGACUUAUGAAUGAA